rnacentral:rRNA from 1 species
UUAAGUUAUUAAGGGCGCACGGUGGAUGCCUUGGCACUAGAAGCCGAUGAAGGACGUUACUAACGACGAUAUGCUUUGGGGAGCUGUAAGUAAGCUUUGAUCCAGAGAUUUCCGAAUGGGGAAACCCAGCAUGAGUUAUGUCAUGUUAUCGAUAUGUGAAUACAUAGCAUAUCAGAAGGCACACCCGGAGAACUGAAACAUCUUAGUACCCGGAGGAAGAGAAAGAAAAUUCGAUUCCCUUAGUAGCGGCGAGCGAAAUGGGAAGAGCCCAAACCAACAAGCUUGCUUGUUGGGGUUGUAGGACACUCUAUACGGAGUUACAAAGGACGACAUUAGACGAAUCAUCUGGAAAGAUGAAUCAAAGAAGGUAAUAAUCCUGUAGUCGAAAAUGUUGUCUCUCUUGAGUGGAUCCUGAGUACGACGGAGCACGUGAAAUUCCGUCGGAAUCUGGGAGGACCAUCUCCUAAGGCUAAAUACUCUCUAGUGACCGAUAGUGAACCAGUACCGUGAGGGAAAGGUGAAAAGCACCCCGGAAGGGGAGUGAAAUAGAACCUGAAACCGUGUGCUUACAAGUAGUCAGAGCCCGUUAAUGGGUGAUGGCGUGCCUUUUGUAGAAUGAACCGGCGAGUUACGAUUUGAUGCAAGGUUAAGCAGUAAAUGUGGAGCCGUAGCGAAAGCGAGUCUGAAUAGGGCGUUUAGUAUUUGGUCGUAGACCCGAAACCAGGUGAUCUACCCUUGGUCAGGUUGAAGUUCAGGUAACACUGAAUGGAGGACCGAACCGACUUACGUUGAAAAGUGAGCGGAUGAACUGAGGGUAGCGGAGAAAUUCCAAUCGAACCUGGAGAUAGCUGGUUCUCUCCGAAAUAGCUUUAGGGCUAGCCUCAAGUGAUGAUUAUUGGAGGUAGAGCACUGUUUGGACGAGGGGCCCCUCUCGGGUUACCGAAUUCAGACAAACUCCGAAUGCCAAUUAAUUUAACUUGGGAGUCAGAACAUGGGUGAUAAGGUCCGUGUUCGAAAGGGAAACAGCCCAGACCACCAGCUAAGGUCCCAAAAUAUAUGUUAAGUGGAAAAGGAUGUGGCGUUGCCCAGACAACUAGGAUGUUGGCUUAGAAGCAGCCAUCAUUUAAAGAGUGCGUAAUAGCUCACUAGUCGAGUGACACUGCGCCGAAAAUGUACCGGGGCUAAACAUAUUACCGAAGCUGUGGAUUGUCCUUUGGACAAUGGUAGGAGAGCGUUCUAAGGGCGUUGAAGCAUGAUCGUAAGGACAUGUGGAGCGCUUAGAAGUGAGAAUGCCGGUGUGAGUAGCGAAAGACGGGUGAGAAUCCCGUCCACCGAUUGACUAAGGUUUCCAGAGGAAGGCUCGUCCGCUCUGGGUUAGUCGGGUCCUAAGCUGAGGCCGACAGGCGUAGGCGAUGGAUAACAGGUUGAUAUUCCUGUACCACCUAUAAUCGUUUUAAUCGAUGGGGGGACGCAGUAGGAUAGGCGAAGCGUGCGAUUGGAUUGCACGUCUAAGCAGUAAGGCUGAGUAUUAGGCAAAUCCGGUACUCGUUAAGGCUGAGCUGUGAUGGGGAGAAGACAUUGUGUCUUCGAGUCGUUGAUUUCACACUGCCGAGAAAAGCCUCUAGAUAGAAAAUAGGUGCCCGUACCGCAAACCGACACAGGUAGUCAAGAUGAGAAUUCUAAGGUGAGCGAGCGAACUCUCGUUAAGGAACUCGGCAAAAUGACCCCGUAACUUCGGGAGAAGGGGUGCUCUUUAGGGUUAACGCCCAGAAGAGCCGCAGUGAAUAGGCCCAAGCGACUGUUUAUCAAAAACACAGGUCUCUGCUAAACCGUAAGGUGAUGUAUAGGGGCUGACGCCUGCCCGGUGCUGGAAGGUUAAGAGGAGUGGUUAGCUUCUGCGAAGCUACGAAUCGAAGCCCCAGUAAACGGCGGCCGUAACUAUAACGGUCCUAAGGUAGCGAAAUUCCUUGUCGGGUAAGUUCCGACCCGCACGAAAGGCGUAACGAUUUGGGCACUGUCUCAACGAGAGACUCGGUGAAAUCAUAGUACCUGUGAAGAUGCAGGUUACCCGCGACAGGACGGAAAGACCCCGUGGAGCUUUACUGUAGCCUGAUAUUGAAAUUCGGCACAGCUUGUACAGGAUAGGUAGGAGCCUUUGAAACGUGAGCGCUAGCUUACGUGGAGGCGCUGGUGGGAUACUACCCUAGCUGUGUUGGCUUUCUAACCCGCACCACUUAUCGUGGUGGGAGACAGUGUCAGGCGGGCAGUUUGACUGGGGCGGUCGCCUCCUAAAAGGUAACGGAGGCGCUCAAAGGUUCCCUCAGAAUGGUUGGAAAUCAUUCAUAGAGUGUAAAGGCAUAAGGGAGCUUGACUGCGAGACCUACAAGUCGAGCAGGGUCGAAAGACGGACUUAGUGAUCCGGUGGUUCCGCAUGGAAGUGCCAUCGCUCAACGGAUAAAAGCUACCCCGGGGAUAACAGGCUUAUCUCCCCCAAGAGUUCACAUCGACGGGGAGGUUUGGCACCUCGAUGUCGGCUCAUCGCAUCCUGGGGCUGUAGUCGGUCCCAAGGGUUGGGCUGUUCGCCCAUUAAAGCGGUACGCGAGCUGGGUUCAGAACGUCGUGAGACAGUUCGGUCCCUAUCCGUCGUGGGCGUAGGAAAUUUGAGAGGAGCUGUCCUUAGUACGAGAGGACCGGGAUGGACAUACCUCUGGUGUACCAGUUGUCGUGCCAACGGCAUAGCUGGGUAGCUAUGUGUGGACGGGAUAAGUGCUGAAAGCAUCUAAGCAUGAAGCCCCCCUCAAGAUGAGAUUUCCCAACUUCGGUUAUAAGAUCCCUCAAAGAUGAUGAGGUUAAUAGGUUCGAGGUGGAAGCAUGGUGACAUGUGGAGCUGACGAAUACUAAUCGAUCGAAGACUUAAUCAA